rfam:Ricinus communis ctg_1100012292646, whole genome shotgun sequence.
ACUGUGCCGAUGAUGGUUUUAAAUAUACAAUGAGCAGCUGCGAUGAAAAUACUUUAAUCUGAGGCACCUC